UACAGAGGUCUCAAGCGUUGUUCGGAUUCAUUGGGCGUAAAGGGUGCGUAGGCGGCGCGGUAAGUCGGAUGUGAAAUCUCGGAGCUUAACUCCGAAACUGCAUUCGAUACUGCCGUGCUUGAGGACUGGAGAGGAGACUGGAAUUUACGGUGUAGCGGUGAAAUGCGUAGAUAUCAUGAGGAAGACCAGUGGCGAAGGCGGAUCUCUGGACAGUUCCUGACACUGAGGCACGAAGGCCAGGGGAGCAAACGGG
rnacentral:rRNA from 1 species